GGGCUUCCUGCUCGGGUCACAAGCGCCAGAAGCGCCGGCGGCUGCGGGGAAACGUCUCUGGAGGGUGUGGCGGAAACUUGAGGCUUGGAGUCCGCGGGACCGGAAGGGGCUCCGUAGCUCGGGGCAGGGUGGGCGCGAGAGAGCCUAGAAGCCCAUGUAGCCGCGAAUCCCGCAGCCCCAGUACACCUCCCUCCGUGCCUCCCCGCCUUUUCUGCAGAGCUCCGCCCUGGAGUGAAGGAGGAGCCGUCACCUGGAGCUCCGAAAAAAGCAGAAGAAGGCGCUUUUUAUUUAGCCAGUGUGACCCCGCCAGGGCCUUCUCGGUUGGGUGAGCACUCUCUCUGACCAGGCCAUGAAAAGAAAAAUCUGUGCGAUGCCUCCCCACAUGUCACGGGACUCUGACUUGCCUUUGUCGUCAGAGUUUGCAGAACUUUGGGGGACCUGAGAGGGGAGUGCCCCCUGGACGGGCCACGGCUGUCUGUGGCUUAAGGGCUUUUGGAAGGGCGGAGAGAGGGAAACGGCGUCCUAGUGGCCUGCUUCAGGGCCACCCACGGGCCCUCCCCCAACCUCUCUCUGAUCCAACUUGUUUUUCCAGCCUAGUUGGAAACUUGUGGAUGCUGUGACCUCAAGAAGACUUGGCAUUUUAUUUGGAAGAUAGACAUCUAUUUGCAACUGUCCUGAGCCCCUAUUUUCCUCCCACCUUUCUUGGGGAAACUUGUUUUUAAGGGAUGCCACUGUUUUUGUAACAUGUUGCUCCUAGCUCUUAGCAUUCAUGGUACUGUUGUAACCGUCCAGUGGGUUCACUUUGUCUGCUAGAUAGAGCCGAUUUAUCAAGACGGGGAUUACAAUGGAGAAAGAGUAAUUCACGCAGAGCCGGCUUUGCAGAUAAAACUCUGCAAAGACAAUGUCUAGCACUUAUAUCUCCAGUAACUCCUGUCAAGGUUUAUUGUUGCUUGUUCAUCAUUGCAGUCCUGACUACAAGUGUGAUUGCACUUUCUAUUGUUUUGUCAGAAUUUCCUGAAAAGAUACAAAGGCCCUUCUGACCAUUGGAUUGGCCUUAGAAGAGAAUCAUCCCAUCGCAUUUGGAAAUGGACAGACAACAUGGAAUAUAAUAACAUUUUUCACACAUUUACAAAACAAUUUGGGAGGAGGCUGGAAAUCAUCUUGACUGAAGACCACCAAUGGCAGCAGUUCAUUUGGGUACAGCAGCAAGCAUCAGUUAAAUGCUUGCUAUCAGAGGAAGUGGAGAAUGUGCCUUCCUGAAUGACAAUGGAGUCAACAGUGGCAGAAUCUACAUGAACAGAAAAUGGAUUUGUAGCAAGCCAAACAAUUAUGUCUACAGUUGCCAGUUAUGUCCCCACUGGGAUACUACCUAGUAGAGCUGUGAGAAGAGGGCCACCAUCCUCCAGACUCCAGAAUGGUGGAAUCAGCAGCAGCUUCCACCAUGCCCCUGGAAAAACUGCAAGUAACAGACCUGCACAUGUAUCCCCUACAUCUAAAAUAAAAGUUGGAAAAAAUGGAACUUUGAUGUUAAGAUGCACUGAUACAAAACUUAAAUUUUGGUCUCCUACAUUAAAACA
rnacentral:lncRNA from 1 species